rnacentral:misc_RNA from 1 species
AUUAAGGGCCUUUCUGAACUACAUGUUUGAUAGACUGUCAACACUCAACACUUUGCCCUGUUCAUCCUAAUUUCAUACCCUAAUCCAAACCAGGUUUCAAAGUAUGCCAAAUUAAGGACAGCCAGAAUUGAAUAUGGGAAUGACAGCCAAAAAAAAAGACAAAAAAAAUCAAUGUUUUGUUUUCAGUAAUUUAGAGUUGUAGACAUAUAGGUCCUAUACAAUAAAAUCAUAUGAGAACAUCCACUGUGCAUAAAAUAGAAAUGAUUAUUGCAUGUUCACGGACCAUUAGCUGCUCGUCAAAUAGGAAAAAAGAAAAGAAAAAAAAAUUCAAUAUGACUGACACUUCUAGUUUAGGAUUAUACUUAAUUGAGUUGAGCAUACGUGUUUGUAAUUUGUACAUGUACACAGGUAACAGUGUGUGCUAUCUACUAUGUAAUGAAUUACAAUAACUUGUGUCAUCUGCUUGGAACUUGUUCUAACUGUAGCGGAUUGGCACCUAGCCUGAUUAGUCAAUUGAUGCUUCAAGUUGAGUGUCUGAAUUAAUUAUAAUGUCUGAACCAUGCCUUUUUUUUUGGACAUUCUCCCAGGAGGAAUUAUUAGGAUCCCAUGCUCCUAGGACAUUUAUGUAGUUUCCAAUUGUUGAACCCACAAGGUGAGUGCCUCAUGGGUUGCUGUGCUUCUAGAUCACCUAAUAAUUUAUGUGAUCUUAGUCAUUCAAACCUGUCCAUUGAGACGUCAAAAAUUAUACCAUUCUUGAUUGGAUUACUUGCACAAGGGAUUUGUAGGCUACUAAACUAGGUAGAAUGAAGGCUUCAAUAAAAGCAAUUCAAUAUUGGUUCAUCCAAUGGUAGUUGAUUGCAGGGCUAGGAAUAAGCAGCAGAAAAGGAUCAUCAAUUUUAUUUGCCAAGAAGUUGCUGUGGGUACUCAAAAGAAGUAAAAAUACGUGGGAUUGGCAAUUUACAAUGUCAUAUGAGGUUAAUAGCUUUAUCAAAUAUUUUGUCCAAAAUGUUGAGGUUAGAAGUGCUUAAAGUUUAGAGUUGAGCUAUUUGGCACAUGGCAAUCAUGCCCCUUUAGAUAAAUUUUGGGCUUAAUCAUACACUUAUGUACUUGCAUAUCACACAUCAUCCAGGAGUUGCAUCUGGAUAUAUGAUAUUAGAACAUUAUUCUGUUACAACACAAUUGGAGGAUUUGAGUAGUGGCUGCAUUUGGAUGUUACCCUUGUCUUUCCUUUAGCUUCUUUA